rnacentral:rRNA from 1 species
AGCGUUCUUUGAAGUGCUCACACAGAUUGUCUGAUAGAAAGUGAAAAGCAAGGCGUCUUGCGAAGCAGACUGAUACGUCCCCUUCGUCUAGAGGCCCAGGACACCGCCCUUUCACGGCGGUAACAGGGGUUCGAAUCCCCUAGGGGACGCCACUUGCUGGUUUGUGAGUGAAAGUCACCUGCCUUAAUAUCUCAAAACUCAUCUUCGGGUGAUGUUUGAGAUAUUUGCUCUUUAAAAAUCUGGAUCAAGCUGAAAAUUGAAACACUGAACAACGAAAGUUGUUCGUGAGUCUCUCAAAUUUUCGCAACACGAUGAUGAAUCGAAAGAAACAUCUUCGGGUNUCCAGAGAUGGAUUGGUGCCUUCGGGAACUGUGAGACAGGUGCUGCAUGGCUGUCGUCAGCUCGUGUUGUGAAAUGUUGGGUUAAGUCCCGCAACGAGCGCAACCCUUAUCCUUUGUUGCCAGCGGUCCGGCCGGGAACUCAAAGGAGACUGCCAGUGAUAAACUGGAGGAAGGUGGGGAUGACGUCAAGUCAUCAUGGCCCUUACGACCAGGGCUACACACGUGCUACAAUGGCGCAUACAAAGAGAAGCGACCUCGCGAGAGCAAGCGGACCUCAUAAAGUGCGUCGUAGUCCGGAUUGGAGUCUGCAACUCGACUCCAUGAAGUCGGAAUCGCUAGUAAUCGUGGAUCAGAAUGCCACGGUGAAUACGUUCCCGGGCCUUGUACACACCGCCCGUCACACCAUGGGAGUGGGUUGCAAAAGAAGUAGGUAGCUUAACCUUCGGGAGGGCGCUUACCACUUUGUGAUUCAUGACUGGGGUGAAGUCGUAACAAGGUAACCGUAGGGGAACCUGCGGUUG